rnacentral:rRNA from 1 species
ACGGGUGAGUAAUGUCUGGGAAACUGCCCGAUGGAGGGGGAUAACUACUGGAAACGGUAGCUAAUACCGCAUAACGUCUUCGGACCAAAGUGGGGGACCUUCGGGCCUCACACCAUCGGAUGUGCCCAGAUGGGAUUAGCUAGUAGGUGGGGUAACGGCUCACCUAGGCGACGAUCCCUAGCUGGUCUGAGAGGAUGACCAGCCACACUGGAACUGAGACACGGUCCAGACUCCUACGGGAGGCAGCAGUGGGGAAUAUUGCACAAUGGGCGCAAGCCUGAUGCAGCCAUGCCGCGUGUAUGAAGAAGGCCUUCGGGUUGUAAAGUACUUUCAGUGGGGAGGAAGGCGAAGAGGUUAAUAACCUUUCCGAUUGACGUUACCCGCAGAAGAAGCACCGGCUAACUCCGUGCCAGCAGCCGCGGUAAUACGGAGGGUGCAAGCGUUAAUCGGAAUUACUGGGCGUAAAGCGCACGCAGGCGGUCUGUCAAGUCGGAUGUGAAAUCCCCGGGCUCAACCUGGGAACUGCAUUCGAAACUGGCAGACUAGAGUCUUGUAGAGGGGGGUAGAAUUCCAGGUGUAGCG